rnacentral:rRNA from 1 species
UACGUAGGGUGCGAGCGUUAAUCGGAAUUACUGGGCGUAAAGCGUGCGCAGGCGGUUUUGCAAGCCGGAUGUGAAAUCCCCGGGCUCAACCUGGGAAUGGCAUUCGGGACUGCAAGGCUGGAGUGCGGCAGAGGAGACUGGAAUUCCUGGUGUAGCAGUGAAAUGCGUAGAUAUCAGGAGGAAUACCGGUGGCGAAGGCGGGUCUCUGGGCCGAUACUGACGCUGAGGAGCGAAAGCGUGGGGAGCGAACAGG